rnacentral:rRNA from 1 species
CGGGGUGCACCAGGCGCGAAAACUCCACAAUGUACGGAAGUACGAUGGGGUUAUCUCGAGUGCAGUCCGAUAAGGGCUGCUUUUCCAUAGAGUAAUAUCCUGUGGGAAUAAGAGGGGGGCAAGACUGGUGUCAGCCGCCGCGGUAACACCAGCCCCUCGAGUGGUGGGGACUAUUAUUUGGCCUAAAGCGUCCGUAGCUGGCUGUAUCCGUCCCCCGUUAAAUCCAGCGUCCUAAGCGUUGGACCGCGGGUGAUACCAUACAGCUAGAGGGUGGGAUAGGUGAGCGGUAUUUCUGGGGUAGGGGCGAAAUCCUUUGAUCCCAGGAGGACCACCAGUGGCGAAGGCUGCUCACUAGAACACGCCUGACGGUCAGGGACGAAAGCUGGGGCAGCGAACCGGAUUAGAUACCCGGGUAGUCCCAGCUGUAAACGAUGCUAGCUAGGUGUUGGGUCGGCCACGCGCCGCCCCAGUGCCGCAGGGAAGCCGUUAAGCUAGCCGCCUGGGGAGUACGGCCGCAAGGCUGAAACUUAAAGGAAUUGGCGGGGGAGCACAAGGGCGAAUCGCG